CUCUCUCUCUCUGAAAUUGAAAUUGGUCCAAGAAACCAAAUAGUCGUUAAUGGGAGAAUGGUCUCAGAUGAGAUUUGGAGCUGUUACCAUCUAUGAACCAUCAGUCAGCCAAAAGCUGCUCAGAAAGCCAGACUUUUCAUGAAAGAGAGGCUGCCUAAGAAAAUUCAAGUAAAUAAACCAGCUUGGUGAGUUUCAAAUUUUCAAUUUGACUUUAAGUGGUGUUAAAUACAUUUCAUGUCAAAUUUUGGCCACAGGAACACAGUUCUGUCAGAUGCAGGAUUCUUCAGUAACACCUCUGUGUCAAAACCUCUGUGUCUCAAUUUAUAAACAUGUAUCUGGUCCAAAAAAACCCAAACAAACCAAACCUUACUUUUCUGCCUUCUGAAACUUCAUACAAUGUUUUGUUUUAUGGACUCAAUGUGUUCUCUGUGGUGAUAUGACCACUUUUGGCAGCUUCUGUGAAGAAAAAUAGGCAAAUCCUACACCUUAGCAACCCUACUCAUAGGUGAUGCAUUUCAGCAGCUAAAGCUUAGUUUGUGUUUUAAAACCUAAUCAGCAUUUAUUUCAUCUUUAGACCUCAUGCCUAGAUAAGCAGCCAUUUUUAACUUGUGGUAUAUCAUAUCAUAUGUUGCCUUACAUUGUACCAAUGACAUGUUCGUACACUACACUACACAGAACACAAGUGUUUAACAUUGGAAAUAUAAUUCCUGUGUUUCUGGCUUCUUCCUAGUCAUCUUUUAAAGCCAGUUGAGGUGGUAGUUUUAUUUCUUAGUGGCAUGCUUUAUAUAUGAAAUGUGCUGUAGUUUAGAGAGAUGUGCUUUAGUAAUAAUGCACAGGAAACAAUAAUUCCUCUGUAAAUGUGGCAAGUGCACAUUAGUGAUAGCUGUUCAGUAUUAUACUUGACUUGACAACUGUGUUCAUUUACUUGUUCAUGAUAUAGGGUGCCCUGUCUGAUGGAUUAUUUUGCCACAUGUCCAAUGUUUCCUUCUCAAAUGGAGCAGCUUGAAUCAUAUACUACAGCUUUCUGUUGAAGAUACUCUUUCAUCAAGAAUAAAGAAUCCCUUUUCUCACCAAUGAGUUACAGAAGCUCUAAAACUUUCUAGAAUAAAAACAGUUGGGACUAUUAUUUUUCA